rnacentral:rRNA from 1 species
AUUGAACGCUGGCGGCAGGCCUAACACAUGCAAGCCGAGCGAGCGGCGGACGGGUGAGUAAUGUCUGGGAAACUGCCUGAUGGAGGGGGAGAACUACUGGCAACGGUAGCCAAUACCGCAAACCGUUAGAUGUGCCCAGAUGGGCUUAGCUAGUAGGUAGGGUAACGGCUCACCUAGGCGACGAUCCCUAGCUGGUCUGAGAGUCUGGCCAGCCGCACUGGAACUGAGCCACGGUCCCGACUCCUACGGGAGGCAGCAUUGGGGAAUAUUGCACGAUGGGCGCAAGCCUGAUGCAGCCAUGCCGCGUGUGUGAAGAAGGCCUUCGUGUUGUAAAGCACUUUCAGCGGGGAUGCGUUGCCCGCAGAAGAAGCACCGGCUAACUCCGUGCCAGCAGCCGCGGUAAUUC